GACGUAGGGGUGCGCGUUGUCCGGAUUUAUUGGGCGUAAAGCGUGCGUAGGCGGCUGCGCAAGUCGGUUGUGAAACCCCGGGGCUCAACCCCGGAACUGCAUCCGAUACUGCGUGGCUAGAGGUAGGUAGGGGAGAUCGGAAUUCCUGGUGUAGCGGUGAAAUGCGCAGAUAUCAGGAGGAACACCGGUGGCGAAGGCGGAUCUCUGGGCCAUUACUGACGCUGAGGAGCGAAAGCGUGGGGAGCGAACAGG
rnacentral:rRNA from 1 species